rnacentral:rRNA from 1 species
CGGAGGGGGCUAGCGUUGUUCGGAAUUACUGGGCGUAAAGCGCACGUAGGCGGACCAGAAAGUUGGGGGUGAAAUCCCGGGGGCUCGAACCUCGGGAACUGCCUUCAAAACUAUUGGUCUUGAGUUUCGAGAGAGGUGAGUGGAAUUCCGAGUGUAGAGGUGAAAUUCGUAGAUAUUCGGAGGACACCAGUGGCGAAGGCGGCUCACUGGCUCGAUACUGACGCUGAGGUGCGAAAGCGUGGGGAGCAAACAGGAUU